GNCCGCCUGGGGAGUACGGUCGCAAGAUUAAAACUCAAAGGAAUUGACGGGGACCCGCNCAAGCGGUGGAUGAUGUGGAUUAAUUCGAUGCAACGNGAAGAACCUUACCUGGUCUUGACAUGUACGGAACCCUCCAGAGACGGAGGGGUGCCUUCGGGAGCCGUAACNCAGGUGCUGCAUGGCUGUCGUCAGCUCGUGUCGUGAGAUGUUGGGUUAAGUCCCGCAACGAGCGCAACCCUUGUCAUUAGUUGCCAUCAUUAAGUUGGGCACUCUAAUGAGNCUGCCGGUGACAAGCCGGAGGNAGGUGGGGAUGACGUCAAGUCCUCAUGGCCCUUAUGACCAGGGCNUCACNCGUCAUACAAUGGUCGGUACAGAGGGUAGCCAAGCCGCGAGGUGGAGCCAAUCACACAAAACCGAUCGUAGUCCGGAUUGCACU
rnacentral:rRNA from 1 species